CCUACGGGUGGCAGCAGUGAGGAAUAUUGGUCAAUGGCCGGAAGGCUGAACCAGCCAAGCCGCGUGAAGGACGAAGGUGCCAAGCAUUGUAAACUUCUUUUGUCAAGGGACAAAAUCAGGCUCGAGAGCCUGACCGAGGGUACUUGAAGAAAACGCAUCGGCUAACUCCGUGCCAGCAGCCGCGGUAAUACGGAGGAUGCGAGCGUUAUCCGGAUUUAUUGGGUUUAAGGGGUGCGUAGGCGGGCUGUUAAGUCAGCGGUAAAAGCCCGGGGCUCAACCCCGGCGAGCCGUUGAAACUGGCUGUCUUGAGAUGUCGAGAGGUAUGCGGAAUGCGCAGUGUAGCGGUGAAAUGCGUAGAUAUUGCGAAGAACUCCGAUUGCGAAGGCAGCAUACCGGCGGCGAUCUGACGCUGAGGCACGAAAGCGUGGGGAGCGAACAGGAUUAGAUACCCGGGUAGUC
rnacentral:rRNA from 1 species